AAAGAAGAAUGCGGAGGAUGACUCCUUUAAGUCCUCCUAAGCUUUAAAGGAUAAGCUGCAGCUUUGCCUGCUUCAGGGCGGGGCGGCAGUCGAAAAUCAAACUGAAGAUACGCACGUAGAAAACCGGUUGGUGGUCUGGUUGGACAGCGGUUCGACUCCGCUCACCUCCACUA
rnacentral:tmRNA from 1 species